CAUGUAGCUGGAGUGAGGGCAGAAUUCUAACACUGAUCAUUCGUAAAGAUCCUCCUGCCUCUGCCUCUGCGGCGCUGAGAUUAAGGACAUGUGCCACUGCCCCUCGCUAAAAUGUUUUUGAGCUUUGGAGCCUGUCCUGGAUCUCCCUCUGGUGACCAGUGUAUGGGUGGCUAUCUGUGCUUCACCUCUGAAGCACUGCUCCCAGUAGAUAGCAGUGAUUUUGGAGGCUGGUGCUACGGAUCAAGGCAGAGUUCGCCAAAGAACCGUGUUGGACUGCGCCUCACCCCUCCUGGAACCCUGGACCAACUCCCUUAUCCUUGUUCUGCCCUAGUCUAGAGCUGCAUGGCUAUAUCCUGUCUCCAAAAACCACGCAACCCAUUACCCAACAACAAAACAGAAUAAACAACAAAGGAAGGCGUGAGGGUCAAAAGGGAGCCAGCCACCGCGGUGCACGACUGUAAGCCCACAUACAAAGGAAGCUGAGGCAGGAGGAUUGUGAGUUUGAGGCCCAGCCUUGGAAACAUACUGAAGCCCUAUCUGGAAAACAAACAGGGCCCAGCAAGAUGGAUGAGCAGAUAAAGGGUGUCCGCCUCUAAACCCGAGGACCUGAGUUCCAUCCCCAGGACCCGAGUGAAGGGAUGAAAAAUGUCUUCUGGAAGUUGUCCUCUGAGCUCCACAUGCUCACUCCCCACCCCACCCCCAAGAAAUUCAGAAAUGAAUAAAUGUAAACAUUUUCUUUUUUUUGAAUGAAAAGUCAGAGCAGGAAGAACUAAGCAAGAGACAGAAGACUGGGUACUUGGACUGAUGCAAGGAAGGGUCAUAAAGCCAAGGAAUGCAGAAGGCAGAGAAGACGACGACAGACAUGCAUCUUCUGCAAGUCUCUAGAAGGCUCCAGCUCGGCCAGCCCCCGACUUUAGCCAUGUGAGGACGUUUACUGGGGGUAGAUGUGGGCACAUCCUUUCCAGUCAUGGUCUAUUGAAAUCUCUUACACAGCUGCUCCUGUCUGUAAGAGUGAGGCCAUGAGCAAGAGAUCUGGAGAACAUCUAAGCUGCCUCCUCUGUGGACUUGUUUUAUUUUGUUUUGUUUGUUUUCCAGACAGGGUUUCUCUGUGUAGCUCUGGCUGUUCUGGAACUCCCUCUGUAGCCCAGGCUGGCCUUGAACUUGCUUGUCUCUGCCUCCUGAGUGCUGGGACUAAGGGCGUGCACCACCACUGCCUGGCUCUCUACAGACUUUUAUGGAAGCUUCUAGACAUUGGGUACUGUAAGGAUUCAGUCCUUAAUUACAUCAUCAGCCUGCGAUGGUGAGCCUAAAAAGCAGGUGGGCCCUCUGUGUGUCCCCCCCCCCUUCUUCUCUUUCUGCUCUCUCCUUCCGUCU